CUUAGCCAAUCGCACUGGUGUGAGGUGAAAUCUCAGGGUUGUUUUGAUUUGCAUUUCCCUUAUGACUAAAGAUGUUGAACAUUUCUUUAGGUGUUUCUCAGCCAUUCGGCAUUCCUCAGCUGUGAAUUCUUUGUUUAGCUCUGAACCCCAUUUUUUAAUAGGGUUAUUUGUCUCCCUGCAGUCUAACUUCUUGAGUUCUUUGUAUAUUUUGGAUUUAAGGCCUCUAUCUGUUGUAGGAUUGGUAAAGAUCUUUUCCCAAUCUGUUGGUUGCCAUUUUGUCCUAACCACAGUGUCCUUUGCCUUACAGAAGCUUUGCAGUUUUAUGAGAUCCCAUUUGUCGAUUCUUGAUCUUAGAGCAUAAGCCAUUGGUGUUUUGUUCAGGAAAUUUUUUCCAGUGCCCAUGUGUUCCAGAUG
rnacentral:lncRNA from 1 species